rnacentral:rRNA from 1 species
UACGUAGGGGGCAAGCGUUAUCCGGAUUUACUGGGUGUAAAGGGAGCGUAGACGGCAUGGCAAGUCAGAUGUGAAAGCCCGGGGCUCAACCCCGGGACUGCAUUUGAAACUGUCAGGCUGGAGUGCAGGAGAGGUAAGCGGAAUUCCUAGUGUAGCGGUGAAAUGCGUAGAUAUUAGGAGGAACACCAGUGGCGAAGGCGGCUUACUGGACUGUAACUGACGCUGAGGCUCGAAAGCGUGGGGAGCAAAUAGG